AGUGAACGCUGGCGGUAGGCCUAACACAUGCAAGUCGAACGGCAGCACAGGAGAGCUUGCUCUCUAGGUGGCGAGUGGCGGACGGGUGAGGAAUACAUCGGAAUCUGCCCAGUCGUGGGGGAUAACGUAGGGAAACUUACGCUAAUACCGCAUACGACCUUCGGGUGAAAGAGGGGGAUCGCAAGACCUCUCGCGAUUGGAUGAGCCGAUGUCGGAUUAGCUAGUUAGCGGGGUAAUGGCCCACCAAGGCGACGAUCCGUAGCUGGUCUGAGAGGAUGGUCAGCCACACUGGAACUGAGACACGGUCCAGACUCCUACGGGAGGCAGCAGUGGGGAAUAUUGGACAAUGGGCGCAAGCCUGAUCCAGCCAUACCGCGUGGGUGAAGAAGGCCUUCGGGUUGUAAAGCCCUUUUGUUGGGAAAGAAAUCUUUCAGGCUAAUACCCUGGGAGGAUGACGGUACCCAAAGAAUAAGCACCGGCUAACUUCGUG
rnacentral:rRNA from 1 species